rnacentral:sRNA from 1 species
UAGAACAUCUUCCUAAACUUCAACCCAGACCAUAUUCGUGUGCAAGCUCAAGUUUAUUUCACCCAGGAAAGCUCCAUUUUGUCUUCAACAUUGUGGAAUUUCUGUCUACUGCCACAACAGAGGUUCUGCGGAAGGGAGUGUGUACAGGCUGGCUGGCCUUGUUGGUUGCUUCAGUUCUUCAGCCAAACAUACAUUCAUCCCAUGAAGACAGCGGGAAAGCCCUGGCUCCUAAGGUAAGAAAUUAGUACCUUAACCUCAGCAUUGUUAACUCAUACUCUUUGUUUGAUUAGAAAAAACAGUGUUGUCUCACCCACAUCAUUCAUUACUAUCAUAAGAAAAUUUAUGCUGUUCUUGAAUUUUAAAAUCUCUAUUGCAAGAGCAGAAAACUGUUUACUUCCAUGUACUCUUUAACUAGUGUGUGUAUUUUCUGAACGUAUAAAGCAUGAAUUUUAUAUAGUACGGUCUUUGCUUGUCCUCUUCAUGGAAAAGAAGACC